CGCUGCACGCAGUCGAACAAGUCUUUUGUCUUUUACCCGCUAAAUGUGUGAGGCACGAGUAAUUUAAGCUCCAAUUUUGUAAGAAAGCGCCAAAGCUCGGCCAAAACAUUGAACAAGAUGCGAUGUGUAUGAUUAUGCAGGCAGGCUACCGUGAUUGGCGUCAUCUAUUCACAGGUGUUGGGUCUUCUGAAGUCAUCCUAAGAGGCUGGAUCCAUACUGGCGCUGGCAUACUCGAUUGCUACCUCAGGAUGGACAUUUCAAGAGAACUCCCACUGGCAACGGAUGCAAUAGAGACACAGCCAAUCAGACGAUCUGAUAUCCUAUCUGCAGCUGUAUGACAAUCAGCAACGAAGGGACUAAGAAACACUGAGGGCUUUAAUCAAAGGGGACAAAGCCAGCCUGAGGGUCAUCACACUUUGCCCCCUUGGCCCGAUGGGGACCCCAGCCCUUGUUUGGUCCCUCAAGGGUCCCGUGAGAGGAGGCGGGCGGCCAUGAGCCGCGUAUAAUUACGUAGUGGCGAUGAAGCCAUCCGAUAGGCGGAAGAGAGGGAAUACGGCAAGAUAAUUAACACUGAUACCCGACGCAGGAGCAACGCAGGCGAAAGGUGGGCCCAGAGAUAAAGCGCUCAUCAGAGCGUGAAACCGCCCCGCUCGCAGAUAGUUCCUGGGUAAAUAAACGAGACGGAGGAAUGGGGAAGGAGGAAGAGCCAAGGUUAACACAGUUUGAAAUAAGGUUACGCCUCCAUCAAAGAAAUUCAGAUGACAUUAGGAAAAGGGGGGUGAGCUGUUUUCAAGAGUGUGUUAAAUUAAUGGUCUUACCAUCACCUUAGCGAUUUGAACGUUUGCAAAGCAGAAUAGGUUUCUUUAAUAAAUGCUUUCCUUUGUUCUAACAACGGCAAUGCUUUUCUGAAAAACUGAAGCAUGGUUUUAUUGAUUUAAAACUUUAGAGAUAGUUCACCCAAAAAUGAAAAUUCUGUCAUCAUUUACUCGCCCCCAUUUGUUACAAACCUGUAUAUACUGUAUUUAUUUGUUCUGAUGAACAAACAGGAAGUUCUUUUGAGGAACCCCUAUGACAUCCAUAGUAGGAAAAAUAAUACAAUGGAAGCUUUUUAUUUUCGUUUUGGGUGAAAUAUCCAUUUAGGUCAACAUCAACAUUGACAGUAUUUAUCUUUCUAGUACAUGCUCCACAUUGUUGGUUUAUCAGAGCAUAAAAAUGUGACCGUAAUCAUUCUAAAAUGUUAUUGUUUUGGAUAUUUGCAAUUCUUUUCGACUAAUGUCACCAAGUCAUCUUAUUUAAGGUUCAAGAUUUUAUUUGUCACAGAUACAAAGUUAUGUAAAUAUACAAUUUGCAGUGAAAUGAAG